GGGAGGCAGAGCUUGCAGUGAGCAGAGAUCGCGUCACUGCACUCCAGCCUGGGCGAAAGAGCGAGACUCCAUCUCAAAAAAAAAAAAAAAGAGUUCCAACAAGAUUGGCCUGGGCUAAAAAUACUCAAGACCCUCAGAUUGCAGUAGGGUCCUAUUCCCCAUUAGAAAAGAAGAUUCAGUUUGCUAAAGCAGAGGCGUACUACUAUCAAUAGCAUCAAGAAAUGAUGAUGGAAGAAGCAUGGAAAUACAAUAUGGUUCCAAAAUGGGAAACUAAAAUAGAGGAAGAGGAAAAGAGAUCACAACGUGAGAAAACAGAAGAUACUAAAAAAUGGGACUAUCUAGUGCCUGAGAGGGAACUGAGUCUUACAAAGAAACAUAUACCAGGCUGAACAAACCAGAGGCCUCAGAGACCACAAACACCGACUGCUCCCUCAAAGAAUUCCCAGUGAAAUACUUUCCCCUAAAAUACUAACACGGGAAAAGGAUGGAAAGCAUGAAAAUAUCCAGAAAACACACAAAACUGAAACCAGUAAGCACAAGGUGGCAUGGACAAAGGAACAGAUGAAGGGACACCAAGACCGAAUGAUCUGAGGGAGAGAACUCAAAGCAAAGACACGCUCAGAAGCGCUCCAGCCCCGUUCCAUCUUUCCUAAAAUCUCAAGUGGAAAAAGAGAAGGUGAAAGAGUUUGAAUGGGUCACAGCUUAUCCAAUUUUGCAACCUUACCAGAAAGCACUUAGGAAAGUGAUGAUUCUGAUGGAGAAAUAAGAAAAAAGAGAGUAUAAAAUUAAGAAACCACUCUGAAGGGAGCUCUUGAGUAUGCCACCAUUUUUGAGAAGUCAACUAGAAAAAAAUAAGGUUUAAAUUAUUUUAUAUUUUUUAGACUAGCAUACUUUUAAUCAUUAAUGCAAUAAAACAUAUACUCCCCUGGUUUUUUUAAGUGCAUCAAACUGGCAAAAAUUAAAAAAGCCACAAGCACAGUAUUUCCAAGUGUUUCAGCUGGCUGUGUGACAACUCUAAAACUUAGUGACUUAAAGCAACCACCACUUUAUUAUAUCUCGCAGUUCUAUGUCAGGAAAUCAGACAGAGCUCAACUGGACAUUUCUGUCCCAUGAGGUACCACCAGAGCUGCCUGGGGAUAUUCAGGUGAUGACUGGGCUCAUCUGGAGGGUCCAAGAUGGCUUCCCCACAUGCCCUUGGCAGGGAAGGCUAGAAAGCUGGGCCUCCCUGGCCCAUCUCUCAUUUGCAGCUCUCCAUGUGGUUUCAGUGCCACGUGGUAGUUGGACUUAUUAUUCGGUGACUCACGACUCCACGAAUGUGUAUUCCAAGAGGCCUGUUGGAAGCUAGAAGGCUUCUUAUGACUUAGCCUCACAAGUCCCAGAACAUCACUUCUGUAUUCUACUGGUCACAUAAGUCACCAAGACCAGCUUAAAUCCAAGGAAAGGGAAAGCGGACUCCUAUCAAAAAAACUUUGGGCUGGGCAUGGUGGCUCCCACCUAUAAUCCCAGCACUUUGAGAGGCUGAGGCAGGCGUUAUCACUUGAGGUCAGGAGUUCAAGACCAGCCUGGCCAACAAGGUGAAACCCCAUCUCUACUAAAAAUACAAAAAAAAGUAAGACGGGUGUGGUGGCUC
rnacentral:lncRNA from 10 species